rnacentral:rRNA from 1 species
AAUGAACGUUGGCGGCGUGGAUUAGGCAUGCAAGUCGAGCGAGAAGCGUAGCAAUACGUGGACAGCGGCGAAAGGGAGAGGAAUACAUGGGAUACCUACCCUCAGGUUCAGGAUAGCUAUGGGAAACUAUAGGUAAUACUGAAUAAUAUCUCCGGAUCAAAGGUGUGAUUCCACCUGAGGAGGGGUCCAUGUCCUAUUAGCUAGUUGGCGAGGUAACGGCUCACCAAGGCGAAGAUGGGUAUGGGAUGUGAGAGCAUGAUCCCACUCACUGGGACUGAGACACUGCCCAGACACCUACGGGUGGCUGCAGUCGAGAAUCUUCGGCAAUGGGGGCAACCCUGACCGAGCGACGCCGCGUGCGGGAUGAAGGCCUUCGG